rnacentral:rRNA from 1 species
CCCUCCUGAAGAGUCGUUCGAGACCAGGACGUUGAUAGGUCGGGUGUGGAAGUGCCGUGAGGCAUGAAGCUAACCGAUACUAAUUGCUCGUGAGGCUUGAUCCUAUCAUUU